rnacentral:rRNA from 1 species
UGGGGAAUAUUGGACAAUGGGCGCAAGCCUGAUCCAGCCAUGCCGCGUGAGUGAUGAAGGCCCUAGGGUUGUAAAGCUCUUUCACCGGUGAAGAUAAUGACGGUAACCGGAGAAGAAGCCCCGGCUAACUUCGUGCCAGCAGCCGCGGUAAUACGAAGGGGGCUAGCGUUGUUCGGAUUUACUGGGCGUAAAGCGCACGUAGGCGGACUAUUAAGUCAGGGGUGAAAUCCCGGGGCUCAACCCCGGAACUGCCUUUGAUACUGGUAGUCUUGAGUUCGAGAGAGGGGAGUGGAAUUCCGAGUGUAGAGGUGAAAUUCGUAGAUAUUCGGAGGAACACCAGUGGCGAAGGCGGCUUUCUGGACUGCAACUGACACUGAGGCACGAAAGCGUGGGUAGCAAACAGG